GCCACCGACCAUGGCUGUGACCCUAGAGGACCUACAGAAAGAGCUGGAAGAGGUAAAGGAAUUGCUGGAAAAAGCCACUAGGAAAAGAGUACGUGAUGCCCUUACAACUGAAAAAUCCAAGAUUGAGGGAGAAAUCAAGAACAAGAUGCAACAGAAACCACAGAAGAAAACAGAAGUCCUUGACAAUGAAAAGCCAGCUGCUGUGGUUGAUCCCAUUACAACAGGAUGCACAGUGAAAAUCAGUAAUUAUGGAUGGGAUCAGUCAGAUAAGUUUGUAAAAAUCUACAUUACCUUAACUGGAGUUCAUCAGGUUCCUACUGAGAAUGUGCAGGUGCAUUUCACAGAAAAGUCUUUUGGUCUUCUGGUAAAGAAUCUCAAUGGGAAGAGUUACUCCAUGAUUGUGAAUAAUCUCCUGAAACCUAUCUCUGUGGAAGGCAGUUCCAAAAAAAGUCAAGAAUGAUACAGUUCUUAUGUAGAAAGAAAGCAGAAAACACUAGGUGGGACUACCUGGCUCAGGUUGAAAAAGCGUGCAAAGAAAAAGAAAAGCCUUCAUAUGACACUGAAACAGAUCCUAGUGAGGGGUUGAGAAUGUUCUAAAGAAAAUUUAUGAAGAUGGAGAUAAUGACAUGAAGUGAGCCAUUAAUAAAGCCUGGGUGUAGUCAAGAGAGAAGCAAGAGACACAGAAUUUUGAGACUUUGAAGUCUGAUUGUGAACUGUAAUGUGGAAAUACUGAUGUUUCCAAUAAGGGAAUGUUGGUGAGCUUCACAUGCAAAUUUACAAGAUAACUAUUUACAAGCCUUCUUCUAAGUAAAGGCAGUGAAUUCUCCAUUUCCUACUGGAGGAUUUAUGAAAAUAAAAUAUGCUUAUUAAACACUUCU